rnacentral:rRNA from 1 species
UACGGAGGGUGCAAGCGUUAUCCGGAUUUACUGGGUUUAAAGCGCGUGUAGGCGGGACGGCACGUCUGUCGCUGAAAUCCCCCGGCUUAACCGGGGAACUGGCGUAGAUACGACCGUCCUGGAGGGGCGUAGGGGGACCUGGAACUUCCGGUGGAGCGGUGAAAUGCGUUGAGAUCGGAAGGAACGCCCGUGGCGAAAGCGAGGUCCUGGACGCCUACUGACGCUGAGACGCGAAAGCCAGGGGAGCGAACGGG